rnacentral:rRNA from 1 species
GACGAACGCUGGCGGCGUGCUUAACACAUGCAAGUCGAACGGAAAGGCCCUGCUUUUGUGGGGUGCUCGGGUGGCGAACGGGUGAGUAACACGUGAGUAACCUGCCCUUGACUUUGGGAUAACUUCAGGAAACUGGGGCUAAUACCGGAUAGGAGCUCCUGCUGCAUGGUGGGGGUUGGAAAGUUUCGGCGGUUGGGGAUGGACUCGCGGCUUAUCAGCUUGUUGGUGGGGUAGUGGCUUACCAAGGCUUUGACGGGUAGCCGGCCUGAGAGGGUGACCGGCCACAUUGGGACUGAGAUACGGCCCAGACUCCUACGGGAGGCAGCAGUGGGGAAUAUUGCACAAUGGGCGGAAGCCUGAUGCAGCAACGCCGCGUGCGGGAUGACGGCCUUCGGGCUGUAAACCGCUUUCGCCUGUGACGAAGCGUGAGUGACGGUAAUGGGUAAAGAAGCACCGGCUAACUACGUG